rnacentral:rRNA from 1 species
UACGUAGGGUGCGAGCGUUGUCCGGAAUUAUUGGGCGUAAAGAGCUCGUAGGCGGUGUGUCACGUCGUUCGUGAAAACCUGCAGCUUAACUGUGGGCGUGCGGUCGAUACGGGCAUCACUGGAGUUCGGCAGGGGAGACUGGAAUUCCUGGUGUAGCGGUGAAAUGCGCAGAUAUCAGGAGGAACACCGGUGGCGAAGGCGGGUCUCUGGGCCUGUCCUGACGCUGGAGGCGCGAAAGCUAGGGGAGCGAACAGG